UUAUAAGAGCUCCGGUUACGGUGCUUUUAAAUACACCAAGCACUUUGUGCUUGUAAGUUUCUCACCGUUAGAUCUACUCUUUUAAUUAUUUCACCCGUUAGAUCAUACUAUUAAUUUAGUUAAUCACCUAUUUAAUUCAAUGACCGAAAACUAAUUAUAAGCACUAACGAUUUGAUAUUUUUAAAAGUAUAAAAGCUCAAUUAUAUAUAUAUAUAUAUAGAGAGAGAGAGAGAGAGAGAGAGAGAGAGAGAGAGAGAGAGAGAGAGAGAGAGAGAGAGAGAGUUGGACUGGGCUACUAUUAGUAGCAAAAUUUCAUUAUUGCUAUCAGUUUUUUAGGCUUUGGAUCAACUCUUUUCAUUAUUUCUAACCAUUUGAUUAAAUACUAUAAUCCAGUGGGAACCACUCAACCCUAGAGGGAUCACUCAACUCUAACUGAUUAAUAUCAUCCUGACCCUACAAUUUUUUACCCAAGGAUUAAAAACUUGAUAGCAAAAAGAGCGUUUUACUAUUAAUAGUAUUUCAAUCUAAUUCUAUAUAUAUAUAUAGAAAGUU
rnacentral:lncRNA from 1 species